AUAGUUAAUAAGUCUCACGAGAUCUGAAAGCAAGGGUUUCUGCUUUUGCUUCUUCCUCAUUUUUCUCUUUCCGCUGCCAUGUAAGAAGUGCCUUUUGCCUCCCACUAUCAUUCUGAGGCCUUCCCACCCAUGUGGAACUCUGAACUCACAAGAAAAUAAGGAAGACCUCCUGGAGGGAAAACAAGCAAGAACUGAAAACAAGUGCCGUCAGUGAAUGGAAUGAGAUGCUGAUGCAGAUCUGAAAAAAAAUUGUUAAUGCAUCUAAAGAUACAGAAAACAAGUAUUUCUGAAUGGAAAGACCCAUGAUAUUGAAAAUUUUGAAAAAGAAGAGAAUUAGGAGAGGUUCCUUUAUGAAAAGGCAAAUAUAUUAAAUAUGUAAUGAUUAUAACUGUGGCAUAUUUUAGGAAUAAGCAGAUAAUUAAUAGAGGAGAAUGUUCAGAAACAGAUAUAUACGUGUAUGUAUACCUAUGUAUAUGUAUAUGCAAAUUUAGGUUGUAAUUAACAGUGGCACUUCAAAGUAGUGAGGAAAGAAUAUUCACUAAAUGACAUGGGGGCAACUGGUCAACCAUUUGGCAAAAAUAAUCUCUUAGUAAACUAUUUUAUUUCCAGGAAUUAAUUCCAAGAAGUAAAUGGACAAAUGUGAAGAAAUGCCUGUUGAAGGAUUUUUUUGGGAUAGUGAAAAAUAGAAAACCACUCAAACGUCUAUUCAGUAGAUUAUUUCAAAUGUGUGUGUCUAUUUGUGUGUACGUAGUAUACGCAUAAGUUAUGGAAUGCCAUGAGUCUACUUUAAAAUAUGGCCGGGUGCAAGAUGGCUCACACCUGUAAUCCCAGCACUUUGGGAGGCCAAGGCAGGUGGAUCACCUGGGGUCAGGAGUUCGAGACUGGCCUGGCCAACAUGGCGAAAACCUGUCUCUACUAAAAAUACAAAAAUUCGCGGGACGUGGUGGCGCACAUCUGUAAUCCCAGCUACUCAGGAGCCUGAGGCACGGGAAUCGCUUGAACUCGGGAGGCGGAGGUUGCAGUGAGCCAAAAUGGCGCCACUGCGCUCCAGCCUGGGCGACAGAGCGAGGUUCUGCCUAAAUAAAUAAAUAAAAUGAUGAAACAGAUUUAAACUUAAUGGAAUGGAAGGAUAGCCACAUAAUCUUUAAAGUGAAAAAAAAAUCAGGUUCUAAAUCUAUAGGUAUUCUUUGAUUACAUUUUUUUCAAUGUGUAGAGGCAUAGAAAAGUCCAGAAGGAUCUAUAAUGAGCUGUUUAAUUUUCAUUUCCUAUGGGGUAGAUCCUUUGUUGCAUGGAAGAUUAUUUCACUCUGUUAGCUCUCUUUACAUCAGUAGGAAUACAUCCUCAUGGUUUUAAACAUCUUGAGGGAGCUUUCCUGACACUCUACUCUAGGUAAAUAUGCUCGCAUAGCACUCUCUAUUCACCAUAUUACCUAUAAAUCAUAUUGCACUUUUUAACUUUUCUAAACUACUUUUUGCUUUCUUUUCUAGAUUAUAAAAUCUUGAGGGCAGGGAUAGUAUGUAAAGGUUCCCUUGUGAGCAAAUAACCGUCACUUAUUGAACUCUGUGUGCCAAAUACU
rnacentral:lncRNA from 10 species